GGGCCCGUAGCUCAGCGGCAGAGCAGUCGGCUCAUAACCGACGGGUCGCAGGUUCGACACCUGCCGGGCCCACCA
rnacentral:tRNA from 1 species